GUUUCUCAAAUUUCUAACCCUAAUUUCUCUCCCUCUCGACUCCUCUUUCGACUUCUGAACUCUUCAAUGGCGAAUCGACCUGUUCUUUACUCUUUUCUGUUUCUCUACAUCUCUCUGAAGCUUUGCUGAAGAUUUCUGUUUGUCUCGGACGACCUGCGCAGCCUUUAAAUUUCUCUCUGAAGGUUUGCUGAAGAUUUUUGCUUGUGUCGGACGACCUGCGCAGGCAUCCUGUAAGGGGCAG